rnacentral:ncRNA from 1 species
CAGAGUAGGUGGCAGCGAGUUUCGUAAGUGUUGAGGAUACAGGGAGUUGAUCCUCAAACGAAAACUCAGCCGGAUGAGAGUGUAUAAUUCCGUACAGGGCUGCACUCGUCCGCCGGAGGUUGCUGUGCAGUCACCGCAUCCCGCUGU